GAACCCCUUCUGGACUCUACCAUCAGCCAGGGGAAUAAGGACCACUGGAACUUGGUUACACCCCUGCCUUCCAGGAAGAGCAUAAUAGCAAAGGAAAGACCAGCCUGAACCCAGCCAUCAACCAGAAAAGAAGACUUCCUACUUACUACCCUUCGUAGAAGAAACACUCUGCUCCAACUGCCAGUUGCUCUGGGACUGCAGAAUGGAAGGGAAACACACUUUGGCCUCUAGCAAUAGCCAGAGGAACAAGAGAUUCACCUCAGCAUACCAGGAUUACUGUCUCACAUGUCGAUUUAACAACCCUAGGGAGCACAACACAGACACCCGCUAAGAGGAGGGAAAUUCUACCCACUCAUCAGAUAUACAGGAUGAUUGAAUUUCCACAUGUAGAACUCACAAAGAACACUGAACUGAAUAGAGACCUUUGAUCCUGAGGUAACUACAACAAUCUGUUGCCUUCUUAUGAGCUAAUAUAUGUAUUUUAAUUGAAAAUAUUUUGUAAUCUAUUCAUGAGGUCUGAAGCAACUAAAAUGUUUACAUUUGUAAGCUAUAGCUAACUGACAUAUAGUCUGCUUUUGCACUGUGAGAAAUAUGUCCAAUAAAAAUAUACAUCACCUCACCUAUCUUGUUACCUCUUAUUAUCUUGAAUAAAAAAUCUUAU